rnacentral:rRNA from 1 species
AGCGAACGCUGGCGGCAGGCCUAACACAUGCAAGUCGAACGAAGUCUUCGGACUUAGUGGCGGACGGGUGAGUAACACGUGGGAACGUGCCUUUAGGUUCGGAAUAACUCAGGGACACUUGUGCUAAUACCGAAUGUGCCCUUCGGGGGAAAGAUUUAUCGCCUUUAGAGCGGCCCGCGUCUGAUUAGCUAGUUGGUGAGGUAAAGGCUCACCAAGGCGACGAUCAGUAGCUGGUCUGAGAGGAUGAUCAGCCACAUUGGGAUUGAGACACGGCCCAAACUCCUACGGGAGGCAGCAGUGGGGAAUCUUGCGCAAUGGGCGAAAGCCUGACGCAGCCAUGCCGCGUGAAUGAUGAAGGUCUUAGGAUUGUAAAAUUCUUUCACCGGGGACGAUAAUGACGGUACCCGGAGAAGAAGCCCCGGCUAACUUCGUGCCAGCAGCCGCGGUAAAAC